rnacentral:rRNA from 2 species
GGCGAUUUACUGGAACACAAUUGACGCUGAGAUGCGAAAGCGUGGGGAGCAAACAGGAUUAGAUACCCUGGUAGUCCACGCCCUAAACGAUGUACACUAGUUGUUGUGAGACUAGAUCUUGCAGUAAUGCAGUUAACACAUUAAGUGUACCGCCUGGGGAGUACGGUCGCAAGAUUAAAACUCAAAGGAAUAGACGGGGACCCGCACAAGCGGUGGAGCAUGUGGUUUAAUUCGACGAUACACGAAGAACCUUACCUGGACUUGACAUAGUAAGAACUUUCUAGAGAUAGAUUGGUGUCUGCUUGCAGAAACUUAUAUACAGGUGCUGCACGGCUGUCGUCAGCUCGUGUCGUGAGAUGUUGGGUUAAGUCCCGCAACGAGCGCAACCCUCGUGUUUAGUUGCUAACAGUUCGGCUGAGAACUCUAAACAGACUGCCUACGCAAGUAGGAGGAAGGUGAGGACGACGUCAAGUCAUCAUGGCCCUUACGUCCAGGGCUACACACGUGCUACAAUGGGAUAUACAAAGAGCGGCAAUACGGUGACGUGGAGCAAAUCUUAUAAAAUAUCUCCCAGUUCGGAUUGUAGUCUGCAACUCGACUACAUGAAGUUGGAAUCGCUAGUAAUCGUAGAUCAGCUAUGC